rnacentral:rRNA from 1 species
CUGCCUAUACAUGCAAGUCGAGCGGACAGAAGGGAGCUUGCUCCCGGAUGUUAGCGGCGGACGGGUGAGUAACACGUGGGUAACCUGCCUGUAAGACUGGGAUAACUCCGGGAAACCGGAGCUAAUACCGGAUAGUUCCUUGAACCGCAUGGUUCAAGGAUGAAAGACGGUUUCGGCUGUCACUUACAGAUGGACCCGCGGCGCAUUAGCUAGUUGGUGAGGUAACGGCUCACCAAGGCGACGAUGCGUAGCCGACCUGAGAGGGUGAUCGGCCACACUGGGACUGAGACACGGCCCAGACUCCUACGGGAGGCAGCAGUAGGGAAUCUUCCGCAAUGGACGAAAGUCUGACGGAGCAACGCCGCGUGAGUGAUGAAGGUUUUCGGAUCGUAAAGCUCUGUUGUUAGGGAAGAACAAGUGCAAGAGUAACUGCUUGCACCUUGACGGUACCUAACCAGAAAGCCACGGCUAACUACGUGCCAGCAGCCGCGGUAAUACGUAGGUGGCAAGCGUUGUCCGGAAUUAUUGGGCGUAAAGGGCUCGCAGGCGGUUUCUUAAGUCUGAUGUGAAAGCCCCCGGCUCAACCGGGGAGGGUCAUUGGAAACUGGGAAACUUGAGUGCAGAAGAGGAGAGUGGAAUUCCACGUGUAGCGGUGAAAUGCGUAGAGAUGUGGAGGAACACCAGUGGCGAAGGCGACUCUCUGGUCUGUAACUGACGCUGAGGAGCGAAAGCGUGGGGAGCGAACAGGAUUAGAUACCCUGGUAGUCCACGCCGUAAACGAUGAGUGCUAAGUGUUAGGGGGUUUCCGCCCCUUAGUGCUGCAGCUAACGCAUUAAGCACUCCGCCUGGGGAGUACGGUCGCAAGACUGAAACUCAAAGGAAUUGACGGGGGCCCGCACAAGCGGUGGAGCAUGUGGUUUAAUUCGAAGCAACGCGAAGAACCUUACCAGGUCUUGACAUCCUCUGACAACCCUAGAGAUAGGGCUUUCCCUUCGGGGACAGAGUGACAGGUGGUGCAUGGUUGUCGUCAGCUCGUGUCGUGAGAUGUUGGGUUAAGUCCCGCAACGAGCGCAACCCUU